AUACACAAACAUGUAAACCAGUAAUUGACACCAAAUAAGACAACACAGUAUUGGGUUCACCAUAAUACAAACCAUAAUAAAAGAAACCAUGAUUCAUGCAUACGAGACCAUAAAAUAAAUACAUCAAAUAUCAUACUGCAUUUAAUACAGAAAAAUGGAUCAAACAACAACUGACCAACAAUGUAUCAGAUUCGGGCUCCAUUGGCAACCUCAAUCAAUUAUACAUAUCUAUAAAGUCACAAAAUACCGUUUAAUUAUUUAUUAAGCUUUAAUGCCGUGAUAGGAGGUAGGGUGAGAGAUCCUUACUUGUUUCGGAGUCUGAAAUCGGCUCUACAGUGCGCCUACAGGCUGUCUCUAAAUUCUCUGAAUUUUCUCCGGGAAAUUGAAACGCACUACUAGACCUGCACGUGUCCCAAAGAAAUCCCAAAUUAGACUUAGGGCCCCUUUCGGC
rnacentral:lncRNA from 1 species